GAACAUUACUAGUACCAAGUAACUGUUAAACUGUUAUCAUUAUAUCUGAAAUGUAUAAAACAUAAUCUAUAGCCGUGUUGACAUUGCACUUCGUGAUUUAGGAAUGUUUGAUAUUUGUUAUUCAUGGAAUUUCAAAGCACCGCAGACUUCCUGCUGAGUUUCAAUGAAUAUUUUUGUUAUUUUGCUUCGCGUAGUUGGUUCAUGUCUUCUUCCGCUUUCAUAACGCGUACUUGAAUUGAAGGUCUUCCUCAAUUAAAGAUGUUUUCAAAGCGUCUCAAUUUUGUAAUACUGACUGUGAUUUUCCUGUUACUCCAAGGUACGUUUUCUGUCGUUUAUAUUAUAACAUGCAUUUAUAUUUCAAGUGCUUUCAAACACGCAGUCACUUCCGCUCUAAAUCUAACCUCAUAAUAAGUGGCAAUUAUUAUAAAUCUAAACAAGAC